UACGGAGGGUGCGAGCGUUGUCCGGAAUCAUUGGGCGUAAAGGGCGCGUAGGUGGCGGGACAAGCGUGCGGUGAAAGCUCGGGGCUCAACCCCGAGUCGGCCGUGCGAACUGUUUUGCUUGAGCACUGUAGAGGCAGGCGGAAUUCCGGGUGUAGCGGUGAAAUGCGUAGAUAUCAGGAGGAACACCGGUGGCGAAGGCGGCUUUCUGGACAGACACCGACGCUGAGGCACGAAAGCUAGGGGAGCAAACAGG
rnacentral:rRNA from 1 species